UCCCUGGUGGCUCAGAUGGUAAAGCGUCUGCCUGCAAUGUUGGAGACCCGGGUUCGAUUCCUGGGUCGGGAA
rnacentral:tRNA from 1 species